CACAUUUCUGAGAAGAUUAAGAAUUACGUGAAGGAAAACCCACAACUUGUUGAAAAAAUAUCCAUUUGUGAAGAGAAGUGUCCCAUUUCAUUACGUUGUAUAACGGUCUAAAUUCAAAGCAAGCAUCUUAUAUGGAAGAUCAAUGAAGCAAAGAAAUGUGCUCAAGAAAACAAGAGGCAAAACAAGGUUCUCUCUGAAGCACAUAAAUUUAAGGCAGGAGAUCUGAGUGCAGAAUUCAAGGAUUCCAAGCAGAGAGGCUCAAUACCUAAUAAAUGUACCCUGAAAGGAGCUGACAAUGAAAGACAUGAGUGAGUGGAAAGAGAGAAGCAGCUCUCAGCGGCAGAGAAGAAAUUGAAAUCGGCUGCAGAAAAACCAGACAACUACAAAUCAAGGCCCGGAUUUUGGAGAGGGAGAUAGUGGAGCAGAGCAGGGGAGCCGCUCACUUGAAAUACAGAUUGGAGAUAAUGCCCAAAAAGAGGCUGCCUGAGGGAUACAGGCGGCACAAACCAAUUUCGGGAAGACCUGGGAUGCAGAACCCUGCACAGAGAGAUGCGGGACCCGGUUCUGCGGCUCCCCGGAAGGACAGCGGCUCCCGCCCCCCGGAGCAGGCGGCUGCAGCGGCGCAGCAGCAGGCCGUGGGCAAGAGGAAUGUUGAAGCAAGAGGGCCUCCUCCUUUCGAAGGACCAUCUGGCAUGGCCAGCUUUAUGGGGCUGCCCUUUGUUUCCACUCACAGGCUCUGGGCCACCUCCACCUCCUCCACCCCGGUGGCCUCUAGGACCUCACCCUCCACCUUCACCUGCUCCCCUCGGUGAGAUGAUCUGAAGAGUGUAAAGUUGACGUGUAAAGCGUGUUCAUCUUUUUUCAUACGGAAUUUUUGGGAAAAUGUAGAGCUGGUACUGAGGGCUUUGCAAUGCAAGGGUAAACCUGGCUGACGACGCUGUAAUGUUCCUCGAGUUUCUCGAGACAGAUGUCUCAUAGGCUGUGUCAUUUCUCCAUCCUGAGCUGUGGAGAAGGAAAGAGGCUUUUUAUAGAAAGACAGAAAGGAUGGUUCUGCAGAUGCUCAUUGUACAGAGACCACAUGCCAGACUCUGUGAGGAAUGAGGUGCACCCCUAACCUCAAGGGCUUAAUGUGUCCUAGAGCAGAGAGGGACAUUUCCAUUAAAGAGCUUCUAUUCACCAUGAUGGAAGCACCAGUGAAGGGCUCCAGAGAACAAGAGGGGGAGACGUGAAUCUCACCAGGAUGAAACGGGAGGUUGUGGCGGAGAAGGAGGAAUUGAGGAGGGGCCUGGUGGGAGUUGGCUGGGUUCCCUUAGAUGGAGCUGGAAGGCCAUUCCCAGCAGGGCAAGCAGCUUAAGCAGGGAGUGUGAAGCAGAGCCACUCCGUGUUUUCCAGUCACACAGUGUGGGCAAUGCAGUUGUCCUCACCAAGAUGUCACUGUUGCCAUAAAGCCCUUGG
rnacentral:lncRNA from 1 species